rnacentral:lncRNA from 1 species
CCUGGACCCUGAAUACCUUAUGACAUGCCAGCUAACGGAUAAGAGCGACGUGUACAGCUUUGGCGUCGUCCUGCUGGAGCUUCUAACCAGGAAGAAGGCACUCUACUUCGAUGGGCCAGAGGAAGACAGGAGCCUCGUGUCAUGCUUCAUGACGGCAAUGAAGGCUGGUCGGCAUGAAGAGCUUCUUGACAUCCAGGUGAGGAACGAGAUGAGAGCCGAGGUGCUUGAAGAAAUUGCUCACCUUGUGAUGCGAUGCUU